UACGUAGGAGGCAAGCGUUGUCCGGAGUUACUGGGCGUAAAGGGUCUGUAGGCGGUGCGGCAAGUCGGAAGUGAAAUCGCAGGGCUUAACUCUGCGGCUGCUUCCGAAACUGCCGUGCUCGAGUGUGAGAUAGGCGAGUGGAAUUGCAGGUGUAGCGGUGAAAUGCGUAGAUAUCUGCAGGAACAUCCGAGGCGAAAGCGGCUCGCUGGAUCACAACUGACGCUGAGAGACGAAAGCUAGGGGAGCAAACAGG
rnacentral:rRNA from 1 species